rnacentral:lncRNA from 1 species
UGUGUGCGUGGCAUUUCUGAGGGCACAUGAGACAGCAGGUGGCAAUGCCUUGGCAUGGCAGAAUCUGGAGGAUCUCUUCUCUUCUCGAAGUCCGGAGGUGCUGAAUGAAGGCCAAGAAGCUCUGGACGGCCUCGGCCUUGGACAGGUUGUCAGGCUCCAAGUGCUUUCUGAUGGACUCCCAGUGCUCCGCCAGCUGCAAAGCACAGCCCCGGGUGCAAGUCCCUUAGUUCUGAGCUCCCGACUUAGGGCUGCUAAUACGUAGGCCUGCUUCCCUUGGGGGCCACGCUAGAGCUGGGUUUGCGGGACCUUGGACCAUUAGCCAUCUGAGGUUUGGAUGUGUGGGUCCAGCAAUGACUGUGUUGUGACAAGCACAUCUGAGGCCACACUAGGGAAAGUGUGCAGAAGUUUCAUUAACAGCCGAGGACUUGGUGUUUGGGAAAGGCAAAGUGAGACCUGCCAGAGUAGUACUGCUUUCUAACUUGCUCGGACCUCACUGCAAAUCAGUUUCAAACAGUCUGAGCUCCCUACUCUUCUUACAGCAUUGCUUGCGUGGAAUCCAAUGCUGCACUGUUGCUCGGGUCUGAACUGUUCAGAGUUUGUAUCUAUG